GCUUAGCCAUUCCUGGUAUCAAGAUUAAACAUUACUGUUGCUGCAGGUGCUAACAGAAUACGUUCUUAUCUCAGUAACAAGUGCUGUCACAGUCACAAUAGCAGUUGUUGUCAAGGAGGCUGUCACUAUAUUGGUUGCAGUCUUUUACUUCCAUGAUGAAUUUACCUGGUUGAAAGGAGCUGGUCUUUUCACAAUUAUGGUUGGUGUUGGUUUAUUCAACUGGCACAAAUACCACAAGCUACAAUCGGGUCAUACAAGUGAAGGCGAUACAAUGGAUCCACUCUCAGACAAUGCCGGUGCAAAAUAUGUUAUCCUUGAGGAGAUGGAUGAGCAAGAUGAUGGCAAUUGAAAUAAUUAGUAGCAAAUUUAUCUGGAUUCACUAAAACUUUGAUAUCCAAGUUGGAAUUUUGGUGAAGCUUGUGAUCGUUUUUGGCUAGUUUCAAUUUUGGAAUUUAAGAAUUCCAGUCUUCAUCAUGAUUUGGCGAUGUAUUUCUGUUCUGCAUCUUUGGGAUGGGGAUGAAGAUGAGAAAUUCUCCAAAAGUAAGUGGAAUUGGAAUAUAAUAUCAAUUCCCCAAACAGGAUCAUCUAUAAAGCCCAUUCGGUUUGGAAAGUUUCCAAGCUUCCAGUUUUAUGGGGAACAUACUCCUUAAGAACUAAAUUGCUUCUAGAUGCCAAAUUAAUUUAGCCAUUGUUUGCCAUUAUUUGUCCUCAAUAUACGUAAUAUAGAGAAUGUAGAUUUUAACGUCAAGCUGUAACUGGUGGAAGUAGUAUUUUUAUUUAC